rnacentral:rRNA from 1 species
AGAGUUUGAUCCUGGCUCAGGAUUAACGCUGGCGGCGUGUAUUAGGUAUGCAAGUCGAGCGGGUUUUGUCGCAAGACAGAAUCAGCGGCGGACGGCUGAGUAAUACAUAGGAAUCUACCUCUAGGUGGGGAAUAGCUCGUCGAAAGACGGGGUAAUACCCCAUAAUGUCUACGGACUAAAGGACUUAACUGUUCGCCAAGAGAGGAGCCUAUGGCCUAUCAGGUAGUUGGUGAGGUAACGGCUCACCAAGCCUAUGACGGGUAGCUGGAUUGAGAGAUCGGACAGCCAGAGGGGUACUGAGAUACGGACCCCACUCCUACGGGAGGCAGCAACCAAGAAUAUUGCACAAUGGGCGAAAGCCUGAUGCAGCGACGCCGCGUGCGGGAUGAAGGCCUUAGGGUCGUAAACCGCUGUGAUAGGGGAAGAAGUUCCGACUUUGUCGGGAUUGACGGUACCCUAUUAGAAAGUAGCUGCUAACUACGUGCCAGAAGCCUCGGUCAGACGUAGGCUACAAGCGUUAUCCGGUUUUACUGGGCGUAAAGUGACGCGUAGGCGGUUUGGUAAGUCGUGCUUGAAAGUUCUUUGCUUAACAAAGAAUUGGGCUCGAUACUACCAAACUAGAGGAUUAUUCAGGGAAGUGGAACGUUUUCUGUAGUGGUAAAAUACGUUGAUAGAAAACGGAACACCAAUUGCGAAGGCAACUUCCUAGAAUCAUCCUGACGCUGAGGCUCGAAAGCUAGGGGAGCGAAAGGGAUUAGAGACCCCUGUAGUCCUAGCCCUAAACGCAUGUCUGCUAGUUAUUCCUUUUUCAGCUUAAUUGUUGAAAGCGGAGUGGCGUAAGGUUACCCGUUAAGCAGACCGCCUGGGGAUUACGAUCGCAAGGUUAAAACUCAAAUGAAUAGGCGGGGACCCACACAACGAGUGGAGCAUGUGGCUCAAUUCGACACAAAGCGAUGAACCUCACCAAGAUUUGACAUGAUAGCGUCCUAUUCCCUAGAAAUAGGGGAAAUUCGCAAGAAGGCUACCACAGCUGCUGCAUGGCUGUCGUCAGCUCGUUCCGUGAGGAGUGCCCUUAAGUGGGACAACGA